UACGAAGGGGGCUAGCGUUGUUCGGAAUCACUGGGCGUAAAGGGCGCGUAGGCGGCCGAUCAGGUCGGGGGUGAAAGCCUGUGGCUUAACCACAGAAUGGCCUUCGAUACUGUUUGGCUUGAGACCGGAAGAGGUUAGUGGAACUGCGAGUGUAGAGGUGAAAUUCGUAGAUAUUCGCAAGAACACCAGUGGCGAAGGCGGCUGACUGGUCCGGUUCUGACGCUGAGGCGCGAAAGCGUGGGGAGCAAACAGG
rnacentral:rRNA from 1 species